UUGCUUUGAUAGCAAAUAUACUAAAAUGGGAAUGACACAAACAGAAGUAGUACGGUCUUUGCACAAAGAUGACAUGCAAAUUUGUGAAGCAUUUUAUAUUUUC